CGGCAAUGGGCGAAAGCCUGACCGAGCGACGCCGCGUGCGGGAUGAAGGCCUUCGGGUUGUAAACCGCUGUCAGAGGGGAUGAAAUGCUGGGGGGCACUCCCCCAGUUUGACAAAUCCUCAGAGGAAGUACGGGCUAAGUUCGUGCCAGCAGCCGCGGUAACACGAACCGUACGAACGUUAUUCGGAAUUACUGGGCUUAAAGGGUGCGUAGGCGGUCCUCCAAGUUGGGUGUGAAAGCCCUCGGCUCAACCGAGGAACUGCGCCCAAAACUGUUGGGCUAGAGGGAGACAGAGGUGAG
rnacentral:rRNA from 1 species